ACUCUCUGCUCUCACUCCUGAAUUUCUCUGCCGGCGCGGGCAGAAGCAGCGGCUGCAAAAAGGAACGCAGCUCGCAAGGGUGGCAACAUUUAGAUACCCACUACUUGCCGUCUUAGGGGCAUAGAUCGUUUGAAGUCCUGGACUUUUACGUUACCUAAACUUAAAUUGUAGGCUAUGGGUGCGUUACUUUAAAUAUUUAAUAAUAGGAUUUUACGUUUAUUUAAAUAUUAUUAUUAUUAUUAAAAGUGAUCGUUUAUUGAAGUUGUUAGCAAUCUUUAAAUUUAUUAGAAAGUUACCUAAAUUCACAAGAAUCGACAUACCCUUACUGUCAAAAAAACAAAGGGUAGCACAAGGCAGCAGCAGCUACAAGGCGACAGCGACAAGCUCGAUCUUUGUUCUCUCUCUGCGCCGAAUCGCUUGAUACUCUCCCAGAAAGGACCAAAGGUUUCCUUAAUACGAACAAGGGUUCUGGAAUGUCGUAGAACAGAGGGAUGUUAUGUCAUACAAGAAAGUGAUUGUCUAAAUAAGGAUGCAGCCAUUGAUUUGAAGAAUUUCAAAAGCCUCACUUAAUGGAUUUUAUAUAUAUGGAAAUUUAUAUAUUUUUUUAGUUUAUGAGAUACAUUUUGAUAUGUAUACGAUGGUUCUGCGUAGAGGAUCUUCUUUAUUUGAUGUGAUGCAUGUAUAUUUAAGAGAGCUAAAUGAUUGCUUAUCCUCAACAUCACCCUUAGCUAACACAACUUCAAAUUUGAAAAGUGUUUUCUAUCCUUCAGAAUUGACUAGAAGAUGCACUAACUUAUAACGUUUAAACUAAGACAUAACGCCCGAAAAAUGUUGUCCAUCGAGUGAGGCCUUCUGCCAGCUAAUGAUCGCCCAGAGCGGGCUGGUAAAAGUUGCGAACCUUGGGGCCCGGGGACAACUCCAUUAGGGCGGCCCACAUUCGGGGGCCAGUUGGUUUUGGUUUUGGUUUUCGUUUUGGUAGGUGAGCAGGUGCAUCGGCGGCAAGCCCUCGAUCGACCGAGAGUCGCAAGGAAAGUUGCGGCGCGUGGCUAGAGAUCGAUGAAGCAGCCAGAAGACCCGCGCUGCCCGCAUAUCGCAUCAGGACAAUCGCCGAGGCACGAGGCAUGUCCGGACACAUCUGGAGUGGCACAGAGUCUCAUAGUCACACCUUGAGCAGCGCUGAUCGCUUGGCUAUUAAAAAGUUACAUUAAAAUGUAUUGCAUUCCACUCAAGUGGGUCCUUUUUAGGAUCCUUUCUUCAGGCGGUCCUUACAGUUAAGGAUAUAUUGAUAAAACUUUUUGGCAGCACUGCAUAAGAGUUGGAGCCGCAAUUUAGCAUAAAUGAAAACUGAACUGAGAUCGCCGAUGGCCAGGGCAUCAUUAAACACAUUAACAGACAACAGACGAUGGCGAUGGCGAUGGCAGGUGAUGCCAAACAGAGACAGGUUGGCAAACUGACUGAGUGGCUAAAUGACUGACCAUAUGACUGACUGACUGGCUGACUGAGUGACUGACUGACGUACUGAAUGGCUGACCAACUGAAGGAGCGACUAAGAGAGCGACUGAACGAUCCCAAUGGCAACUGUACACAACACAAACGGGCUCGAGUCGUUGGGGACUUUUAAUGGGCUUAACCCGUGCCUCGAGGUCUCCUCACUCCGCCGACUCCACCGCACUCCUUUGUUAAUUACAAAGGAUGCGCCACAGGACAACAUCUGCCGAAUGCCAAUUGAUUCCCCAGCCCCUGGCUUCUUAACCCUUUGUGUUAGCAAAUGAGCCGGAUAAGUAUAGAGAUGCACUAGAUUUUUCACAUAAAUAAAACAUAACAUUUGGGCAUAAAUACAGCUGUUUUAUAUACUUUACUUUUAUAAGUACUUUAAAACAUACUCGUGUUUAUUAAUAUCCCAUCAUAGGCUUCACAAGUAUUGUAUCUUAAGUAACCAAGAGGUCAAAGUUUAUUUGCAGAGGAACCCCUAUCCUGUGAUUAGUGCUUAGUGGGUUAAGCCUUGUUCGGCGCAGCUGUACCACAGUUUCCAGAUCCUUCUGAUCCUUGCGGCUUACGCACUCGCCUGCUUCCUCUUCUUCCCCUCGGUCCCUUUCCACUGCUGCUCCUGUUUUUGCCUGAAUUUUCCACUUCUAUUGUCAGGACGAAGGUAGCGCAGAACAUUGCCAUCGAAGGCCAACUAUCCAGCGGCGAAACUAGUUUGCCACCUUUUGCGUCUUUGAGAACCGGUAACGGUACAAAGGUGCUGCCCCACCCACUUUCCUUACGCCCAUUUGCGAAGCGUUGGCAAUGAUGUUUUGAUAUGUUCUCCGUUUUGGCCAAGCCGAAACAAACCAUACCAAAUGGUCUUAACUCACCCAUUCUGACGAGUGCUUGUGCCUGGAAAGGAAAAAUCGGAAACUCCAUGGCAUGGCAUUUUCCUCCCCAUUACAUUAUCGUUUACAUGCCACCACCCCGAUCAUGAGAUAUAUGUUUAUGUGUGCCCCGUACCAUAAACGGCUAUCCCCUCUUCUACGGUUUGCCCUCUGGCCCAUUAAACAACCGUCGAACGGCUUUAUUAAUUCGCUGUAAUUUGUUUAUGUUUUCUAAGCAAUUUGUUUUCCACAUGCGGCUGCCACAGUAGCACCCAAGGGGGAACAAGGGGUUAAGGUUAACUAUGGGACACACACACAAACGAUCGUUGCAACUUAUAACCUAGCAUUUUCGCAUCAGCACCUAGGGUAAUAUUAGUACGUAUAUCAGAAUAGAUGAUCCAACAAAAAUUAGAAAUCUUUACUUCUCAAUAAAACUAACAUAAAUUAGUGAAAGCGAGUUAGCUUAGUUGCUCGAUAUAAUUUAUUCCUGACAAUAAACCACUUUAUUUAAUUGAUUGAUUUAAUUUCCAUUUCGUUUAUUUGUGUUACACACUUUGAUCGUUAAAUGUGCCUUUUGGCCAAACAGCGAAAUGCGUAAUUCAAAGUGUCAGCAAACAUGGUCAUAAACGUAGGUCCUCUGGCAUGUUUUUAAUAAAGUUAUAAAUCUGAAAUCAGAA